CAAGGAGCAAGCGACCCGGACACCGAAGAGCACGGAGCCAGUACAACUUUCUCACUGAGACUGAUGCCGUUUUCUCUUCUGACCAUAAAAGACAGCAGUCCCUGCUGUCAUCCCAUCCUUGACUGCGCCCAUCGAGCUUCGGCUCUCCCUGAAAGCCCUGCAACCCCCAGGUGGGCUCCGGGCAGCCGGCGCGCCACCUCGCGCAUCCCAACCACCCUCGCAGCCCACGGACUUGGGCGGCCGGCCAGGGCCAGGCCGGGCGAGGAGCGCACACAGGCUCCAAGGGAAGCCCCGAAAGCCUGGUCCCUACAACCGACUUGCAAAACAAUAAGCAUCCGCUUUCCGCCCCUCCCCCACAAGACCCUGACCACGAGUCACAGCGGCCGC
rnacentral:lncRNA from 1 species